AGAGUUUGAUCCUGGCUCAGGAUGAACGCUGGCGGCGUGCCUAACACAUGCAAGUCGAGCGAGAAUAUCUUAACUGAUUCUUCGGAUGAUUGUAAGGAAGGAAUAGCGGCGGACGGGUGAGUAACGCGUAGGCAACCUGCCUCUCACAGAGGGAUAGCCACUGGAAACGGUGAUUAAAACCUCAUAACGCCACUCUGAGACAUCUCAGAAUGGCCAAAGAUUUAUCGGUGAGAGAUGGGCAUGCGUCUGAUUAGCUGGUUGGCGGGGUAACGGCCCUCCAAGGCGACGAUCAGUAGCCGACCUGAGAGGGUGAUCGGCCACAUUGGAACUGAGACACGGUCCAAACUCUUACGGGAGGCAGCAGUGGGGAAUAUUGCACAAUGGGCGAAAGCCUGAUGCAGCAACGCCGCGUGAAGGAUGAAGGCCUUCGGGUCGUAAACUUCUGUCCUUGGGGAAGAAGAACUGACGGUACCCUUGGAGGAAGCCCCGGCUAACUACGUGCCAGCAGCCGCGGUAAUACGUAGGUUGCAAGCGUUGUCCGGAUUUACUGGGUGUAAAGGGCGUGUAGGCGGAGAUGCAAGUUGGGAGUGAAAUCCCGGGGCUCAACCCCGGAACUGCUUUCAAAACUGUAUCCUCUUGAGUGUCGGAGAGGCAAGCGGAAUUCCUAGUGUAGCGGUGAAAUGCGUAGAUAUUAGGAGGAACACCAGUGGCGAAGGCGGCUUACUGGACGAUAACUGACGUUGAGGCUCGAAAGCGUGGGGAGCAAACAGAAGUAGAUACCCUGGUAGUCCACGCCGUAAACGAUCCUAAAAGGGUGUCGGGCAGCAAAGCUGUUCGGUGCCGCAGCAAACGCAAUAAGUAGUCCACCUGGGGAGUACGUUCGCAAGAAUGAAACUCAAAGGAAUUGACGGGGACCCGCACAAGCGGUGGAGCAUGUGGUUUAAUUCGAAGCAACGCGAAGAACCUUUCCUAGUCUUGACAUCCCGAUGACCGGUCCUUAAUCGGAUCUUUUCUUUGGAACAUCGGAGACAGGUGGUGCAUGGUUGUCGUCAGCUCGUGUCGUGAGAUGUUGGGUUAAGUCCCGCAACGAGCGCAACCCUUACUAUUAGUUGCUACGCAAGAGCACUCUAAUAGGACUGCCGUUGACAAAACGGAGGAAGGUGGGGAUGACGUCAAAUCAUCAUGCCCUUUAUGACCUGGGCUACACACGUACUCCAAUGGCGUUUAACAAAGAGCAGCAAAACCGCGAGGUGGAGCAAAUCUCCAAAAAACGUCUCAGUUCAGAUUGCAGGCUGCAACUCGCCUGCAUGAAGUCGGAAUUGCUAGUAAUCGUAGGUCAGCAUACUACGGUGAAUAAGAUCCCGGGCCUUGCACACACCGCCCGUCA
rnacentral:rRNA from 1 species